GGGCAGGCAGGGACAGCCCCUCUGAUGAGGAGGCCACUGGGCUGAGACCAAUGAAUGAGAUGGAGCCAGCCACGUGGUGAGCCAGAAGAGGGCAUCACAGGGCUUGAGUCUGGGGGAGCCUGGCUGCCCAGAGGUGGCAGAUGACAUGAAGAAAUAACCAUGUAAGGGCUGGCUGUGUAUGAGCCCUGACUUCCCACAGCUAUCCCCAAACACACUCGUUUACACUGAAGCACCAGGAGAUCAGAACCUUCUGGAAUCUUAAUAUGCGAGGACUCGGUGGAGAAGGCGGCACUGAAGAAGAGUCGUCCCUAGGCCAGGCUGGAGGGAAACUCAAGACGGCGGCCUGGCCCUCCUGGGUGGCGGAAGUGGGAGCAGCAGGAGCCCUGGCGGAUCCGGGAGGCCAGAAGAGCGGAAGCUUCCUCCCCUCUCAGGAAGCUGAGACCCCAGAGGCUGAAAUUUCACUCAGACCCAGGAGAGCCAGAGUCCGGAGAAUCCCCCUGGUCUCCGCCCCUCAAUCCCAAAGACAGCCACAAGGACUUUCGGGGGUCGUGGCAGCUGCUCCACUUCCAACUUCCAGAUCCCUCUCACUUUCCUCUUCCCACCAACUCCAACCUGGGACCAAGCAGGGGAAAGCAGCUGCAGCCCAGCUUGACGCCCCUGCAAAUGGAGACCUGUGCACCUGGUUGUGAGCAUUUUAAAGGGUGUCACACAGGGCAUACCCUUCGGUGCCUGGAUUCCUUUGGUUUACAUCCAGCAGGAGUUGGCCCUGAGCUCUGAGUCCAGAUCAUUGCUCUUGGCUGAAGCAGCCUGUCUACUCACAAAGAUGAGCAUGGUCCCUGCCACGAGGAAACUCGUGGUCCUGUGGACUGCGGUGUGGAGGGAAAGCUUGGGAUUCUGAGCCUGAUAAUGCACCAUUACAUCCCCACUCACUCGGGCUGUGUGAACCCAGCAAGUCACAGGAUCACUGGGUGGUGAAAGAAAGAAACACUCACAGAAGCGUCUGUGCUUGGAGAGCCAUCUGGUCCGUCAUUGUGACUGCUGCUCUCAUUGCUAUCAUGGGUGUCACCAUUGCCAUCACUCAAGGACUUCUCUCCAGGCCCCGAAGCCAAGCUGGUGCCUGGUUCCUCUGGGUUGGGAGAGGGGCUGGGCAUGGACAGGAGGAGGGAAAAGGGACCUGUGCUAGCAGGUGAUGCCAUCCAAGACAUCUGCAUCCUAAUCCCUGGAACCUGGGAUUCCACUAGGUGCCAUGGCAAAGAGGGAUUAAGGUGGCAGGUGGAGUGAAGGUUGCUAAUCAGCCGACCUUAAAGUAGGGAGAUGAUCCUGAAUGAGACAAAAGAGAGAACCAGUCAUGGUGUCAUGAGAAGGACUCAAAAUGCAACUGCUGACUUUGAAGAUUAAGGGGCUACAAACCAAGGAACGUGGUAGUCUCUGGAAAAGACAAGGAAUAGACGCUGCGUUGGGGCCACCAGAAGGAACCAGCCCUGUCAACACCCUAAUUUUAGCCCAGUGAGGCCUGUGCUGGACUUCUGACCUCCAGAACUGUAAACUAAUAAAUGUGUGUUGUUUCUGCCACUA
ensembl:lncRNA LINC00917 long intergenic non-protein coding RNA 917